UUUUACGUCAUUGAAUCAUAAUCGUGGAAGGAAUUGUAGUUCCAAGUUAACAAAGUACACCUUAUUUAUAAUAGUUUAACGGGAACUUAACUUUCCUAAAAAACAGUGUUAUUAAAAAAUAUUUAUGUGAUAUCAAAAAAUGCUUUAUGUUGCUGUUUUGGGAGAUUUGUAUUUUAAUUUCGAUUAAAAUUGUUUGAAAAUAUUUUUCACUGAAACUUGCGCUGUAAUUAACCUGGUGGUUAAAGUUAUAAUUAAAGCACAUUUUUUGAGUAGAACAUUUGUAGUUCAUUAUCUCUUGAUAAAAUCAGUUAUGCCCAUCACAGUUAAAUAUACAUGUAGGCAGUAAAAAUUGAGAUAUAUAAAUUGCCUGCUAGGAAUAAGGUAGAACGAAAUGUAUUUACUCUUGCAACAGAAAAAUAUUGUUUUCAUUGCUGACAAAUAAGAGUGCAAGGAAAUAUUAUAGUUUCAAUGAUAUAAAUAGUUAACACAGUAAGAUGAUAACUAGGAAUUGUUCGGCGUCGACGACGUGACAGACGGCAAUGUCAUUGCCAGAGGAUUCGCUACGGCCGCGGCCGUUGAAACUCGUCGUGUCCGGGAAGUUGGUCCAUUAGCUCUUAACAUUCUCGCGUUAACGCCGUUUAUUACGUGGGCGUAACGUAAUACCUUCGCGUGGACCAUUUUAUCAGACGGCACAUACUUCCAAGUAUCUAAGUAGACGUUACGACAUCAAUUAUUGGAAUUGUCAGCAACCAAGUGAUAAAACAUGUCAAAUAAUGGUACCAUCUUCGGGUGUGUUAGAAGGAGCUUCGAAGGCUUUUGCACCAUUUAACUGUAUUUUGUUCUGCACCUUAAUCACGUCGCGACAUCCAAUAGAAAUAUCUUUAUUGGACAGUGAUAUCAUUAAUUGUGGGACUUCAUUAUUAUAGAAUUUCAAUAAGAAUGUCAAGAAUGACUAAUAGUAAGGAAGUAUUGGUAGUACGUUAUGUACGAUACGUUAUGUUACGUACGGUAGUACGAUUGGAAAAUAAUAAAAGAUAAUUGAUUUUGACUUCGCCUAAGCUGUGUAAUAAUCUAAAAACGUGGUUUGUCAGGUGAAUGUUAGUUUCAAAUAAAUUGAGAUAUUUCUAUAUUAUCUUCAUCGUUCGAAAAUAAAUUAUUCAAACAUUAUUAUCAUAAUAUGAAUAAUGUCCCAAAUGUCCCAAAUUUUUUAUAAAUGCAGCUUUUAGCAAUAUUCUUGAAAUAUUAUCUUCAUUUUUGUUAUCACACCUUGAUUCGUUAACGCUGUAAAGUAUUUGAACAUAUCAAAAUACAUAUUGAUUUAUGAAUCACUAAGCCAAAAACGACGAUAUAACUCGAUACAAUUUUAUGACACGUAUAUUCAGUAAAAAUAUAUAGAGCAAAAAUAAUAAUACACAUACAUAAAAUAGGGAAUUGCAAGCUUCGUAACAAAGAGAAUCUCAUUCAUGAAUUUUAUUAAAUGACUGUGUUGUAAGCAUUUGCGUGUAUAAAAUUAUACUUACUUAAACGAUGAUUGGAUGAAAACAAUCUACGAUAAGCGUAAUAGUAUUGUAUCAUGUUAUCAUUUGUGUAUUUCUACGAAUUAUAAAUCCUCUAUUGAAUCAUUACAUUAGCUUGAAUUUUACGUACAAAAAUCUGCACUUAAUCCAAUUAUUCUAUUUACUGAGAAAACAUGGGUCUCAACUAAAUUGACCCUCUU